rnacentral:rRNA from 1 species
AACGAACGCUGGCGGCAUGCCUAACACAUGCAAGUCGAACGAGACCUUCGGGUCUUUUGGCGCACGGCUGCGUAACGCGUGGGAACCUGCCCUUAUGUUCGGAAUAACUCCCCGAAAGGGGUGCUAAUACCGGAUAAUGUCUUCGGACCAAAGAUUUAUCGCCUUUGGAUGGGCCCGCGUUGGAUUAGCUAGUUGGUAGGGUAAAAGCCUACCAAGGCGAGGAUCCAUAGCUGGUCUGAGAGGAUGAUCAGCCACACUGGGACUGAGACACGGCCCAGACUCCUACGGGAGGCAGCAGAGGGGAAUAGUGGACAAUGGGCGAAAGCCUGAUGCAGCAAUGCCGGGUGAGUGAUGAAGGCCUUAGGGUUGUAAAGCUCUUUUACCCGGGCUGAUAAUGACAGUACCGGGAGAAUAAGCUCCGGCUAACUCCGUG